UACGUAGGGGGCGAGCGUUAUCCGGAAUGAUUGGGCGUAAAGCGUCCGCAGGUGGCUAUGUAAGUCUGCUGUUAAAGAGUGAGGCUCAACCUCAUAAGAGCAGUGGAAACUACAUGGCUAGAGUGCGUUCGGGGCAGAGGGAAUUCCUGGUGUAGCGGUGAAAUGCGUAGAUAUCAGGAAGAACACCGGUGGCGAAAGCGCUCUGCUAGGCCGCAACUGACACUGAGGGACGAAAGCUAGGGGAGCGAAUGGG
rnacentral:rRNA from 1 species